rnacentral:rRNA from 1 species
UACGUAGGGUGCAAGCGUUGUCCGGAAUUAUUGGGCGUAAAGAGCUCGUAGGCGGUCUGUCACGUCGGCUGUGAAAACCCGAGGCUCAACCUCGGGCCUGCAGUCGAUACGGGCAAACUAGAGUACUGCAGGGGAGACUGGAAUUCCUGGUGUAGCGGUGAAAUGCGCAGAUAUCAGGAGGAACACCGAUGGCGAAGGCAGGUCUCUGGGCCAUAACUGACGCUGAGAAGCGAAAGCAUGGGGAGCGAACAGG